GUGUCAGCAGCCGCGGUAAUACGGGGGGUGCGAGCGUUGUCCGGAUUCACUGGGCGUAAAGGGCGCGUAGGCGGCCGCAUCAGUCCGACUUUUAAGAGCGGGGCUCACCCCCGUGGGGGGUCGGGGACGGUGCGGCUGGGGCGCGGCAGAGGGGUGCGGAAUGCCGGGUGUAGUGGUGAAAUGCGUAGAGAUCCGGCGGAACACCGGUGGUGGAAGCGGCACCCUGGGCCGAGGCCGACGCUGAGGCGCGAGAGCGUGGGGAGCGAACCGGAUUAGAUACCCGGGUAGUCC
rnacentral:rRNA from 1 species